UACAGAGGAGCCAAGCGUUAUCCGGAAUGAUUGGGCGUAAAGCGUCCGCAGGUGGCAGUUCAAGUCUGCUGUCAAAGACCGGGGCUUAACUUCGGAAAGGCAGUGGAAACUGAACAGCUAGAGUAUGGUAGGGGCAGAGGGGAUUCCUGGUGUAGCGGUGAAAUGCGUAGAGAUUAGGAAGAACAUCGGUGGCGAAGGCGCUCUGCUGGACCAUAACUGACACUCAGGGACGAAAGCUAGGGGAGCGAAUGGG
rnacentral:rRNA from 1 species